rnacentral:rRNA from 1 species
AACAAACGCUGGCGGCGUGCCUAAUACAUGCAAGUCGAACGGGGUAGCAAUACCUAGUGGCGCACGGGUGAGGAACGCGUGGAUAAUCUGCCUUAGAGUGGGGGAUAACUAGUCGAAAGAUUAGCUAAUACCGCAUAAGACCACAGGAGCUGCGGCUCUAGGGGUCAAAGGUUUUUCGCUCUAAGAUGAGUCCGCGUAAGAUUAGCUAGUUGGUGAGGUAACGGCUCACCAAGGCGACGAUCUUUAACUGGUCUGAGAGGAUGAUCAGUCACACUGGAACUGAAACACGGUCCAGACUCCUACGGGAGGCAGCAGUAGGGAAUAUUGCACAAUGGAGGAAACUCUGAUGCAGCGACGCCGCGUGAGUGAUGAAGGCCUUCGGGUCGUAAAGCUCUGUCGCAGGGGAAUAACACAAUGGAUGUACCCUGUAAGAAAGGAUCGGCUAACUUCGUGCCAGCAGCCGCCGUAAAAC